UGGUAGUCCACGCUGUAAACGAUGUCGAUUUAGAGGUUGUGGUCUUGAACCGUGGCUUCUGGAGCUAACGCGUUAAAUCGACCGCCUGGGGAGUACGGCCGCAAGGUUAAAACUCAAAUGAAUUGACGGGGGCCCGCACAAGCGGUGGAGCAUGUGGUUUAAUUCGAUGCAACGCGAAGAACCUUACCUACUCUUGACAUCCAGCGAAUCCUUUAGAGAUAGAGGAGUGCCUUCGGGAACGCUGAGACAGGUGCUGCAUGGCUGUCGUCAGCUCGUGUUGUGAAAUGUUGGGUUAAGUCCCGCAACGAGCGCAACCCUUAUCCUUUGUUGCCAGCACGUAAUGGUGGGAACUCAAAGGAGACUGCCGGUGAUAAACCGGAGGAAGGUGGGGAUGACGUCAAGUCAUCAUGGCCCUUACGAGUAGGGCUACACACGUGCUACAAUGGCAGAUACAAAGAGAAGCGACCUCGCGAGAGCAAGCGGAACUCAUAAAGUCUGUCGUAGUCCGGAUUGGAGUCUGCAACUCGACUCCAUGAAGUCGGAAUCGCUAGUAAUCGUAGAUCAGAAUGCUACGGUGAAUACGUUCCCGGGCCUUGUACACACCGCCCGUCACACCAUGGGAGUGGGUUGCAAAAGAAGUAGGUAGCUUAACCUUCGGGAGGGCGCUUACCACUUUGUGAUUCAUGACUGGGGUGAAGUCGUAA
rnacentral:rRNA from 1 species